rnacentral:rRNA from 1 species
GGUUAGCGGCGGACGGGUGAGUAACACGUGGGUAACCUGCCUGUAAGACUGGGAUAACAUUCGGAAACGAAUGCUAAUACCGGAUACGCAGCUUGGUCGCAUGACCGGGCUGGGAAAGAUGGAGCAAUCUAUCACUUAUAGAUGGACCCGCGGCGCAUUAGCUAGUUGGUGAGGUAACGGCUCACCAAGGCGACGAUGCGUAGCCGACCUGAGAGGGUGAUCGGCCACACUGGGACUGAGACACGGCCCAGACUCCUACGGGAGGCAGCAGUAGGGAAUCUUCCGCAAUGGACGAAAGUCUGACGGAGCAACGCCGCGUGAGUGAUGAAGGUUUUCGGAUCGUAAAGCUCUGUUGCCAGGGAAGAAUGCUUGGGAGAGUAACUGCUCCCAAGGUGACGGUACCUGA